AUUGAACGCUGGCGGAAUGCUUUACACAUGCAAGUCGAGCGGCAGCGCGGGGGCAACCCUGGCGGCGAGCGGCGAACGGGUGAGUAACACAUCGGAACGUACCCAGUUGUGGGGGAUAGCCCGGCGAAAGCCGGAUUAAUACCGCAUACGACCUGAGGGUGAAAGGGGGGGAUCGCAAGACCUCUCGCAGUUGGAGCGGCCGAUGGCGGAUUAGCUAGUUGGUGGGGGAAAGGCUCACCAAGGCGACAAUCCGUAGCUGGUCUGAGAGGACGACCAGCCACCCUGGAGCUGAGACACAGUCUAGACUCCGACAGGAGGCAGCAGUGGGGAAUUUUGGACAAUGGGGGCAACCCUGAUCCAGCCAUGCCGCGUGAGUGAAGAAGGCCUUCGGGUUGUAAAGGUCUUUCGGCAGGAACGAAACGGUGGAGGCUAAUACCUUUCAUCAGUGACGGUACCUGAAGAAGAAGCACCGGCUAACUACGUGCCAGCCGCCGCCGUAA
rnacentral:rRNA from 1 species